rnacentral:rRNA from 1 species
GAUGAACGCUGGCGGCGUGCCUAAUACAUGCAAGUCGAGCGAACAGACGAGGAGCUUGCUCCUCUGACGUUAGCGGCGGACGGGUGAGUAACACGUGGAUAACCUACCUAUAAGACUGGGAUAACUUCGGGAAACCGGAGCUAAUACCGGAUAAUAUCUUGAACCGCAUGGUUCAGUAGUGAAAGACGGUUUUGCUGUCACUUAUAGAUGGAUCCGCGCCGCAUUAGCUAGUUGGUAAGGUAACGGCUUACCAAGGCAACGAUGCGUAGCCGACCUGAGAGGGUGAUCGGCCACACUGGAACUGAGACACGGUCCAGACUCCUACGGGAGGCAGCAGUAGGGAAUCUUCCGCAAUGGGCGAAAGCCUGACGGAGCAACGCCGCGUGAGUGAUGAAGGUCUUCGGAUCGUAAAACUCUGUUAUUAGGGAAGAACAAAUGUGUAAGUAACUAUGCACGUCUUGACGGUACCUAAUCAGAAAGCCACGGCUAACUACGUG